UACGAAGGACCCGAGCGUUAUCCGGAUUUACUGGGUUUAAAGGGCGCGUAGGCGGCCACGCGUGUCUUUCGUGAAAUCCCUCGGCUUAACUGAGGACGUGCGGAAGAAACUGCGAGGCUUGAGUCCGGGAGAGGGGGGUGGAAUUCCCAGUGUAGCGGUGAAAUGCGUAGAUAUUGGGAGGAACACCGGUGGCGAAGGCGGCCCCCUGGACCGGUACUGACGCUAAAGCGCGAAAGCGUGGGUAGCAAACGGG
rnacentral:rRNA from 1 species